GAAAUAAUAAAAAAAAUAAUAUGGGAAAAUUAAAACCCAUUUUGUCCCUAUUCUCAAGAAUCACUGAUAUAUUAGAACCAGUCUGGUUGCGGAUGAAUCGCCAGUCGUCUGCCUAACUUCCCCCUCCUGAUCCCUCCAUGGAUUCUUCGAAGAUUCAAGCUCCAAAAAUGAUUAUUACUCAGAGACUGAAGACUGUCCGAUGCAGUAGAGGAGCAUGUUGGUGUCUCCGGCCAAACUUCACGAACAGCCCAACAACCUGAAGACAAUCUGUUAGUGACUGGACAUCUCUCUGGUGGAGUGCAGAGAGGAUCUGUCUCUUAUGAACAGAAACAGAAACUGGAUAAGAAAUUAUGGAUCUGAAUAUCAGGUUGGUCUGUUAUGUAAUGUACAUAUCUGGCAAUCUACCUGUUAAAAGAAAAUGUACUCUAUCAAAUAUUACAUGAACUGCAUGAAUUGAUACAGGUUUUACUUUCUCCACUUUGUACUUUGAACAAUUUCAUGCAUAUGGUAUUGAAGAAAAACGUAUUAAGCAUACUGCAUUUUGUAUUGCACAGCUGAUAUGUCAGACCCUUUAAUAAGCAAUAUGUGAAUGAAAGCGACAUGUGAAAUAUGCACAUUAUUCCAUGUAAUAUGUUUUGUAAUUACGGUGCACGUUUUGAAAUAAAUGCAUUUGAGAAAAUUAUUGCCUCUUUAUUAAAUGUUUAUUUUCCAAAGAACUUUUAAAAGUUCAAAACAAUAUAGUACCUAUUUAAUAUUACAAAUAACUCUUAAGAAGUUAAAGAAGUACUCUGAGAGAGUUAAUAUUAAGAUCUAACACUGAAUUAGUGUUAGUAAGUGUUAAAUGAUUAACUCCAGCAGAUUUGAUAUUUGACACUUUAUUAGAGUUGAGGUACCAACUCUCCAAAAAGAGUUAAAUUAACACUUUCUGGUGUGGACCCAUAUAGACACUUUAAAAGUGUUGAAAUCAAAGCUGACAGUGUUAAUCUGGGCCUCCUGGAUUUGCUGUGUACUUUUAGCCAUUUUGUACUGACUACGUUUUGCUACUAAUGGUAUCUUGGAGGCUAAACUUCCUAGCUGGACUUAUUGUUCAGUAUCUGAAGUUUUUUUUUUCUUUACAUACUUUAACUUUUCAAAAUUAUGUUUUGGUUUCAAAUUGUAUUUUUUUUUGUAUUUUGUUUUUUAUGGUGCAAGUUAUGCAGCUCUUUCUGCUCUGAUGCCCAAUCUUGGAAAUGAUCUGGGUCUGCUACCGACGGAUACGUUCCACUGCCGGCCUUUAAAAACUGUUAUGGCCUGAGAUCAUUUGUCUACAUAUGUUAGUAUUCCAACAUACAAAGUCAAUCUCAACAUGGGCAGCAUGUUGCGUGCACCAAAUCCAUUCUGUAAAUUGGUUUGUUGUGUCUGUUCAUGUGGCGUGAUGUUUUGUACAUUCUGCAGUACAGGAAUCUGCUGUAAUGCAUCAUGCUGAGCCAGGCCCGAUUUCUUCUUUCCUUGUUUAAAAUAAUUAAAUAAAUCAAUAAAUUGAUGUGUGUUGACAUGAAAAAUGAUCAUAGAAAUGAUAUCACUGAUAACCUUGGAGAAGCUGAAAAGGUUUAAAAACAUUCCCGCGUGUUCUUCUGUGGGUUUCCAGUGAUUCUAACACAUUUACACUGAGCAGGGAAGUGUUUUAUUUUGAAAAAUGCUUAACAGGAUCUGGUUUUGCAUUUUGUCCUGUCUUGCCUCCUGUUUUCAGUUCAAACAGCUGUUGUAGUUAUUGUCUAUUUGUUCAAUAAAAACAAGACAUCUGCUCAGAUGUCUUUGCUAAACAUUUUGUAUUCAGUUUCUGUUGUGAUUGCAGAAGCUUUCACGACGUAACAUCACACCCAGUGAGGAAGUAACAUUUUGAGCAAGAACAUCAAUCUAAGGACUGGAGAUUAAACUCUUUCCUUCCUGUGUUUCUCUGAGACUGAGGAAAUUAAACAUAGAACAGAUUCUUUAAAAUUAGUAGCAACAUUGUCUGAUCGAUCUACUACAAUGAAAUGUUCUCUCAGGUUUGUAGUGAUGGAACAGUAACAGUGGGGAAUACUGUUAUUGUUUCACAUUUAAUGUCAGCACAAGGUCACAAAGUGGAUAGGACUGGCUUCUUUGAGUAAAACCAUUUGAGUCUAAGGUAGAAUUAAAUUUAGCCCUUCACCCUCAAUGUCAGCAUGAAUGUUAAGGCCUCCAAUAUAAUGAUCGUGUUUAACACUAAACUAGACUCAAAAACAUCUGAUCAGUCAGUGAACGUGGGAUAGAUAGACUGAUUAGCCACUGAGAGGUUAAAACAGUCACUCUUUGGCCUGGUUAGCUAACCAUAUUCUUAAUAGACACAAAGCUGCUUCAGUUCUAGCAGCUGAUCACUCGUUCUGCAGUCCAGUCUUGUCAUGUGAAGCUAAACUCUUGUGUGUUUGCAGUUUCCCAGCAGCCAGGCAGCAUGCAGGGCUUUGGGGUGAACGGGAUGGCUGGAGGUGACCCUGGGAUGACACUGAGCCAGGCUACGUAUCGUUCACAGCCCGGCUCCACCCAGAUGAUGAUGUGGUCCUACCCGCCACCUCCGUCCUACUGCAACCACCCACCGCCACCUUAUGAAAAAAUCAUCCAAAAUGACAACAAGAAGUAAUGUCUUCAAAAAGCUAACCUGGUGGAACAUGAGAAGGGAAGCAGGGUGAUGGAGACAAAGUGCAGCUAAAGCCGAGGAGAACAAGGACCAGUCUGCUGUUUGCAGGUUCAUGCUAACUGACUGUGUGUGAAGAGUUAAUAACACAGAUCCGUCGUUGAAAAUAAGCGCAAUAAUA